AAGUCGUAACAAGGUCUCCGUUGGUGAACCAGCGGAGGGAUCAUUACAGAGUUGCAAAACUCCCAAAACCAUCGCGAACCCUACCUCACAACCGUUGCUUCGGCGGGCGGGGCGCCCGCCGGAGGCACCUAACUCUUGCUUAUCACACGGCCUCUCUGAGUAUUCUGUACUGAAUAAGUCAAAACUUUCAACAACGGAUCUCUUGGUUCUG
rnacentral:misc_RNA from 1 species